UAGGGAAUUUUCGUCAAUGGGGGAGCCCUGAACGAGCAAUGCCGCGUGUGUGAAGAAGGUCUUCGGAUCGUAAAGCACUGUUGUAAGUGAAGAAUGCCACAUAGAGGAAAUGCUAUGUGGGUGACGGUAGCUUACCAGAAAGCCACGGCUAACUACGUGCCAGCAGCCGCGGUAAUACGUAGGUGGCAAGCGUUAUCCGGAAUCAUUGGGCGUAAAGGGUGCGUAGGUGGCACGAUAAGUCUGAAGUAAAAGGCAACAGCUCAACUGUUGUAUGCUUUGGAAACUGUCGAGCUAGAGUGCAGAAGAGGGCGAUGGAAUUCCAUGUGUAGCGGUAAAAUGCGUAGAUAUAUGGAGGAACACCAGUGGCGAAGGCGGUCGCCUGGUCUGUAACUGACACUGAUGCACGAAAGUGUGGGUAUCAAACAGGAUUAGAUACC
rnacentral:rRNA from 1 species